GGGGAAUAUUGCACAAUGGGGGAAACCCUGAUGCAGCGACGCCGCGUGAGCGAAGAAGUAUUUCGGUAUGUAAAGCUCUAGCAGCAGGGAAGCAAAUGACGGUACUGGACUAAGAAGCCCCGGCUAACUACGUGCCAGCAGCCGCGGUAAUACGUAGGGGGCAAGCGUUAUCCGGAUUUACUGGGUGUAAAGGGAGCGUAGACGGUUCUGCAAGUCUGAUGUGAAAGGCGGGGGCUCAACUCCUGGACUGCAUUGGAAACUGUAGGACUUGAGUGCCGGAGAGGUAAGCGGAAUUCCUGGUGUAGCGGUGAAAUGCGUAGAUAUCAGGAGGAACACCAGUGGCGAAGGCGGCUUACUGGACGGUAACUGACGUUGAGGCUCGAAGGCGUGGGGAGCAAACAGG
rnacentral:rRNA from 1 species